CGCGGCCUAUCAGCUUGUUGGUGGGGUGAUGGCCUACCAAGGCGACGACGGGUAGCCGGCCUGAGAGGGUGACCGGCCACACUGGGACUGAGACACGGCCCAGACUCCUACGGGAGGCAGCAGUGGGGAAUAUUGCACAAUGGGCGCAAGCCUGAUGCAGCGACGCCGCGUGAGGGAUGACGGCCUUCGGGUUGUAAACCUCUUUCAGUAGGGAAGAAGCGCAAGUGACGGUACCUGCAGAAGAAGCACCGGCCAACUACGUGCCAGCAGCCGCGGUAAUACGUAGGGUGCAAGCGUUGUCCGGAAUUAUUGGGCGUAAAGAGCUCGUAGGCGGCUUGUCACGUCGGCUGUGAAAACUCGGGGCUCAACCCCGAGCCUGCAGUCGAUACGGGCAGGCUAGAGUCCGGCAGGGGAGACUGGAAUUCCUGGUGUAGCGGUGAAAUGCGCAGAUAUCAGGAGGAACACCGGUGGCGAAGGCGGGUCUCUGGGCCGGAACUGACGCUAAGGAGCGAAAGCGUGGGGAGCGAACAGGAUUAGAUACCCUGGUAGUCCACGCCGUAAACGUUGGGCGCUAGGUGUGGGGGACCUUCCACGGCCUCCGUGCCGCAGCUAACGCAUUAAGCGCCCCGCCUGGGGAGUACGG
rnacentral:rRNA from 1 species